rnacentral:rRNA from 1 species
AGAGUUUGAUCCUGGCUCAGGAUGAACGCUAGCGGCAGGCUUAACACAUGCAAGUCGAGGGGCAGCAUAAUGGAUAGCAAUAUCUAUGGUGGCGACCGGCGCACGGGUGCGUAACGCGUAUGCAACCUACCUUUAACAGGGGGAUAACACUGAGAAAUUGGUACUAAUACCCCAUAAUAUCAUAGAAGGCAUCUUUUAUGGUUGAAAAUUCCGAUGGUUAGAGAUGGGCAUGCGUUGUAUUAGCUAGUUGGUGAGGUAACGGCUCACCAAGGCGACGAUACAUAGGGGGACUGAGAGGUUAACCCCCCACACUGGUACUGAGACACGGACCAGACUCCUACGGGAGGCAGCAGUGAGGAAUAUUGGUCAAUGGACGCAAGUCUGAACCAGCCAUGCCGCGUGCAGGAUGACGGCUCUAUGAGUUGUAAACUGCUUUUGUACGAGGGUAAACGCAGAUACGUGUAUCUGUCUGAAAGUAUCGUACGAAUAAGGAUCGGCUAACUCCGUGCCAGCAGCCGCGGUAAUACGGAGGAUUCAAGCGUUAUCCGGAUUUAUUGGGUUUAAAGGGUGCGUAGGCGGUUUGAUAAGUUAGAGGUGAAAUCCCGGGGCUUAACUCCGGAACUGCCUCUAAUACUGUUAGACUAGAGAGUAGUUGCGGUAGGCGGAAUGUAUGGUGUAGCGGUGAAAUGCUUAGAGAUCAUACAGAACACCGAUUGCGAAGGCAGCUUACCAAACUAUAUCUGACGUUGAGGCACGAAAGCGUGGGGAGCAAACAGGAUUAGAUACCCUGGUAGUCCACGCAGUAAACGAUGAUAACUCGUUGUCGGCGAUACACAGUCGGUGACUAAGCGAAAGCGAUAAGUUAUCCACCUGGGGAGUACGUUCGCAAGAAUGAAACUCAAAGGAAUUGACGGGGGCCCGCACAAGCGGAGGAACAUGUG